ACCUCGCCAGCAACCAGGUUCGCAAAGGUCUCUUCAGGGAGAUUGCCAGCCAGGCCCUUCCCGUUGCACCCUGACAAAACUUUUGAAUUCCCCCCGACUCUGCCUUCAUGGGGAACACAUGGCAUUAGAAAACGUCAAGGGAGGGACUGCUGAACAGAAAGAAAUCACAUUGUGCAUCAUCAUCAAGGUAAUUGGAUUCUGCAGCCCAUGUUAUCUUAUGAACUACUGAUAAACAGAAAUGCUGGAUUUACCUGUGAAAGUACCACAUUCUUCAGAGCACUUGAAAAUGGUUGAAAGACAAAGCCACCAAGUCAACGUGCUCUUCUGAGAUUUAGGUUUCCUAUGUCUAACACUUUUGUCUAAUCACAACUCUUGAUUGACACAUUCUCUCAUCAUGGCAUUUGCAGCCUGCUAGAAGUCCUUUGUCUCUGUGAGAGACUGACAGGCAAUGUUAAAAAAAAAAAAAAAAAAGUGUUUUGUGAAGUGCUUUUUAAACCUGUUUUCGAUGAAUAUACCUGCCUUCUUGAGAAAAAAGAAA